rnacentral:rRNA from 1 species
AGCAGCCGCGGUAAUUCCAGCUCCAAUAGCGUAUAUUAAAGUUGUUGCAGUUAAAAAGCUCGUAGUUGAAUUUCGGGGUUAGUAGGUUGGUCAUGCCUCUGGUAUGUACUGGUCUCACUGAUUCCUCCUUCCUGAUGAACCGUAAUGCCAUUAAUUUGGUGUUGCGGGGAAUUUGGACUGUUACUUUGAAAAAAUUAGAGUGUUUAAAGCAAGCUAACGCUUGAAUACAUUAGCAUGGAAUAAUGAAAUAGGACGCUCGAUCCUAUUUUGUUGGUUUCUAGGAUUGACGUAAUGAUUAAUAGGGAUAGUUGGGGGCAUUAGUAUUCAAUUGUCAGAGGUGAAAUUCUUGGAUUUAUUGAAGACUAACUACUGCGAAAGCAUUUGCCAAGGAUGUUUUCAUUAAUCAAGAACGAAAGUUAGGGGAUCGAAGACGAUCAGAUACCGUCGUAGUCUUAACCAUAAACUAUGCCGACUAGGGAUCGGAUGAUGUUAAUUUUUUAAUGACUCAUUCGGCGCCUUACG